rnacentral:ncRNA from 2 species
AUCUGUACCUCGGGGUGCCGGACGGUGCGCAUGCGCCCACGGCUGAGAUGCGGGAGAUCCCGCGAACCCGUUGAACCUGAACCGGGUAACACCGGCGGAGGGAAGGUUUUGCGGAACGAG